GGGAGCCUGCCCUAGUGCCGACCAGCCCCUUGAUGGCCCCCUGAGGCACUUCCCUGAAGGUGAGACCUGCUGAGCAUCCUACAAGAGUCAAGCCACCUCUCUGAUUAAGGCACUACUGAGAAGAUCCCACGCUUGGGGGGGAUGUUGCAUCCCCAGGGUCACAGAAAAUGUGGUGUCAUUUAGAAGGCACAGACCCUCUCUGCACUGGACAAGAUAUUUCCUAAAGAGACCACCUUGUCGUUGGUGAAGGCACCAGAUGGACCAGUCUGAUGAGAGCUGAGCAAGGAGAGAGCACCAAAAGACCAUUCAGGUCAUCCAGCUUGUCAGCGGUGGAGCGGGCUCCAUCACGUCUCAGCAACCCCAGUCCGGGGAUGGAUCCAUUAACCAAGACAUUCAGCUCGCUGGGAGACCAGAUUGCCUUUUCUCAGUGAGCCCUCCUCUGAUAAACUUGGGGAAGAAGAGUCCUGUCUUCUCAGGUUGGGAGUCAAGAUGAAGGUCAGCUCACAAGUCCACGCUAAGUGGGAGAUGAGUCAGGGAGACGCGAGGGGAGGAGAAGCGAGCAGUCGUCACGUGUGUCACUGAGCCUGCUUCCCACAGCAACCCUGACAGGACCCAGAAGCUUUGAGGCCCUGGGGACUUCCGGGGCCGCGCCAUUGGUUGGUGGAAUGGCUGGGCUUCCCUUUGAAGAACAUAUGUUGUUCAUAUGAGGUAAAAUAUGUUGCUUUACCCAAGGACCAUGGACACAAAGCAGUAAUUUCAACGGACUCUGUGACAUUAACAAUCUUAGCUACAGCACGUAUUCUGUCCCGUCAACACCAGUUCUGCUUUUUAAUGAGCUCAUACUCCGUAAUUGCUAAUGAUAUCAGCAUUGUCA
rnacentral:lncRNA from 1 species